UGACUGUGUGACUGUGUGUGACUGUGUUAGGUUCUAGCCCACCUGGUGCGUGGUUACUUCCCUCUGUGCCAGGCAUGUCUCUGUGACCUGGGGCAGGUGAGCGCUCGCUGCCUCCGAGAGACAGACCCCUCCGUUCAACUACACGGAGCCAAGUUACUAGAGGAGUUGGGGACAGGUAUUAUCCAACAGUACAGACCAGACAGCAGCCAGUCGGAGAGCUGCAGGAUCCCCAUCUCACAGGUGGUCCAGUUUCUGGGUGGAUGUAUUGAGUGGUCCGCUGAAUGGAAGCCCUUCAGAGUCACCAGCAUCCUACUCUACAGACCAGCGCCUGUGACACCCUCUCCUCUAUCCUGCCAGGCCUUCACACAGC